rnacentral:rRNA from 1 species
AGUGAACGCUGGCGGUAGGCCUAACACAUGCAAGUCGAACGGCAGCACAGUAAGAGCUUGCUCUUACGGGUGGCGAGUGGCGGACGGGUGAGGAAUACAUCGGAAUCUACUUUUUCGUUGGGGAUAACGUAGGGAAACUUACGCUAAUACCGCAUACGACCUACGGGUGAAAGCAGGGGAUCUUCGGACCUUGCGCGAUUGAAUGAGCCGAUGUCGGAUUAGCUAGUUGGCGGGGUAAAGGCCCACCAAGGCGACGAUCCGUAGCUGGUCUGAGAGGAUGAUCAGCCACACUGGAACUGGGACACGGUCCAGACUCCUACGGGAGGCAGCAGUGGGGAAUAUUGGACAAUGGGCGCAAGCCUGAUCCAGCCAUACCGCGUGGGUGAAGAAGGCCUUCGGGUUGUAAAGCCCUUUUGUUGGGAAAGAAAAGCAGCAGGUUAAUACCCCGCUGUUCUGACGGUACCCAAAGAAUAAGCACCGGCUAACUUCGUG